rnacentral:rRNA from 1 species
UGGUGGAGUGAUUUGUCUGGUUAAUUCCGUUAACGAACGAGACCUUGACCUGCUAAAUAGUUACAUGUAAUUUCGAUUAUGUGGGCAACUUCUUAGAGGGACUUUGUGUGUAUAAUGCAAGGAAGUUUGAGGCAAUAACA